CGGAGUUCUGAUGGGAUCCGGUGCAUUAGUGCUGGUAUGAUCGCACCCCUUAAUUCUUGCGCAUUCUAUUUAUAUAAAGGCUACCCCUGAUCGCGCUUGAAACUCGAAUUUUAAUUUAAAUACGACCAAAUAACGUUUCGAGUGAUUUAUUCCGUAAAUAACUAAUUAGUUAAACGAUGAGAUAUAAAAAAAUAAAAAAAAAUUUAAUAAGAUAUAAAAUUGGAGGGGUGCAACACGAGGACUUCCCAGGAGGUCACCCAUCCUAGUACUACUCUCGCCCAAGCACGCUUAACUGCGGAGUUCUGAUGGGAUCCGGUGCAUUAGUGCUGGUAUGAUCGCACCCCUUAAUUCUUGCGCAUUCUAUUUAUAUAAGGGCUACCCCUGAUCGCGCUUGAAACUCGAAUUUGAAUUUAAAUACGACCAAAUAACGUUUCGAGUGAUUUAUUCCGUAAAUAACUAAUUAGUUAAACGAUGAGAUAUAAAAAAAAUAAAAAAAAAUUAAUAAGAUAUAAAAUUGGAGGGGUGCAACACGAGGACUUUCCAGGAGGUCACCCAUCCUAGUACUACUCUCGCCCAAGCACGCUUAACUGCGGAGUUCUGAUGGGAUCCGGUGCAUUAGUGCUGGUAUGAUCGCACCCGUCAAUUCUUGCGCAUUCUAUUUAUAUAAAGGCUACCCCUGAUCGCGCUUGAGCCUCGAAUUUGAAUUUAAAUACGACCAAAUAACGUUUCGAGUGAUUUAUUCCGUAAAUAACUAAUUAGUUAAACGAUGAGAUAUAAAAAAAAUAGAAAAAAAUUUAAUGAGAUAUAAAAUUUGAGGGGUGCAACACGAGGACUUCCCAGUAGGUCACCCAUCCUAGUACUACUCUCGCCCAAGCACGCUUAACUGCGGAGUUCUGAUGGGAUCCGGUGCAUUAGUGCUGGUAUGAUCGCACCCGUCAAUUCUUGCAUUCUAUUUAUAUAAAGGCUACCCCUGAUCGCGAUUGAGCCUUGAAUUUGAAUUUAAAUACGACCAAAUAACGUUUCGAGUGAUUUAUUCCGUAAAUAACUAAUUUGUUAUACAAUGAGGUAUAAAAAAAAUAGACAAAAAAUUUAAUGAGAUAUAAAAUUGGAGGGGUGCAACACGAGGACUUCCCAGGAGGUCACCCAUCCUAGUACUACUCUCACACAAGCACGCUUAACUACGGAGUUCUGAUGGGAUCCGGUGCAUUAGUGCUGAUAUGAUCGCACCCGUCAAUUCUUGCGCAUUCUAUUUAUAUAAAGGCUACCCCUGAUCGCGCUUGAAACUCGAAUUUGAAUUUAAAUACGACCAAAUAACGUGAAUCAAAUAGAUAAGGAUAUUGUUGACGCAUCGCCACUUCUGGCUCCUAAGUAGCUUCCUCUCUG
rnacentral:lncRNA from 1 species